UGUGCACUUUUCUCUUAGUAAGACGCCGUGAUCCAUUAGAAAUUGGUAUACGCCAGUAUACAUUGGGUCAUCAAUAGGCCAAUGCGAAGUUUCUCGGAUUGAAUGGCAUAAUCUUUUACGGUUGUGUGUAUCACCUGGGAAGCGUAUAUGACUGUCUGAUGGAUUUUAAAGAUCAUAUUACUGAUGAUGAGAGUUUAUAUGUUUCUGAUCGACGGCGGUUAAAUUUGGGAUACCUUUUGGACCCGUCUUGAAACACGGACCAAGGAGUCUAUCUAGUAUGCGAGUAAAUGGGUAAUAUGAAACCUAUUUGCAGAAGAAACUUGACUGUUUGUAUGCCUCUUCCAUCCCGGAGUAUUUUCAUCCACAUAUGCAAACGUAUAUGGAAAAUAUAUCAUGAGCACACUGGAUACGACCCGAAAGAUGGUGAACUAUGCCUGAUCAGGUCGAAGUCAGGGGAAACCCUGAUGGAGGACCGAAGCAGUUCUGACGUGCAA
rnacentral:rRNA from 1 species